rnacentral:rRNA from 1 species
UACGGGGGGAGCAAGCGUUGUUCGGAUUUACUGGGCGUAAAGGGCGCGUAGGCGGCCAGCACAAGUCAGUUGUGAAAUCUCCGAGCUUAACUCGGAAAGGUCAACUGAUACUGUGCGGCUAGAGUGCGGAAGGGGCAACUGGAAUUCUCGGUGUAGCGGUGAAAUGCGUAGAUAUCGAGAGGAACACCUGCGGCGAAGGCGGGUUGCUGGGCUGACACUGACGCUGAGGCGCGAAAGCUAGGGAAGCGAACGGG